GCAUUGAUCUCGCUAUCCCGUCGCCAACUAUGGAACAUAACUCCAAUAAACAGGCAUUUCUUCAAAUUUUCCGUAACGUGGUACUGUCGGAAAAUACGCAAAAAUACGAAAACUCAGAUUAUCUCAGUUUUCAGAUAUGGAAUGAAGUUCAGAAAAAUACCAGUUCUCUCAAGAAAUUGGUGCAAUUGUUACCUCUAACUCGAUUCAUUGAUCAUAAAUGGGCAGAAAGAGGAAAACUCGUAUUAUGGAUUUUUAGAAUUUUUUAGAAUUUUUUGAUAAUCCUCCGAAUUUAUCAAAAGAAUUCAAAGUUUGCCAGAACUAAUAGGGAAUCUUUCUCAGAACUUUCCGGUAAAAUAGUAUAUACCUAAAAGAUUUCAGAGAAGUUUUUUGAUCUUGUCGGAGCGAUUUGUAACUAUUUCAAUUCAACUCACAAACUGAGUAUUGAACUUCCCAACAUCAGCAAAUGUGUAUAUUUAAUAUAGUAACCAUAUACAUAAUAAUUGCAUCAUUAUAUUGUAGAUUUAUACUUAAACUUUAACAGGGUAAUAAUUUUAACAUGGUUACUUAGUUAUCACCUUAUUACAAUUAAGUAAUGAGAAAUCGAUUUAACAUUAUAAUAUAAUAUAAUUUAUUGUAUUGACGAAGUUAUUGCAGAAAUGUGGAUCACUAUAUCUAAAUUUAUUGUACAUAUUAUAAGCGCAUUUUCUAAAAAUUGGGCGUAUUCUUCAAUAUUAUUCACUCCAAAUAUCUGACAAACAGUGUGUAAUAACGACGCACCGCCCUUGGAAUCUACUGAUUAUUGAAGAAUUAAGAUUAUUGGAAUAAUUUGUUUUAAUUUAUGUACAUGUCAGGGAUCAACCCUGUUCUAGUUAUUCACUAAUACCCAUGAUGUUUUGAUAUUUCAGGAUUUAUUCUCAUAUGUUGAAACAUUCAGAAAACAGGUGAAUUUACUGAAAAUCUCUUUGAAACCGUUAGAACAUUCUCUUAUUUCUGCAAAUUUUCAAGGAGUAAUGUUUUUACAACGACCAUGAAAAAAAAAAUGAAACAAGUAACAGCACUCCUUAUUAGUUUGACUGUUCGAUUGAAACAGUUAGCUAAGCCCGUUGCUUGUCUUGAUUAAAAAUUAUCUGACCACAACCGACUUUCAAAAUAUGUUGAUUAUCAAUAUUUUACGUUAAAUUUUCAUUAUACACACCGCUCGUUUAAACCGAAUAGACAAGCUCAAUAUGUUAAAAAUAAUAGGCAACAUAAUAUAUUAGUUAAUAAAUAAUUGAUCUAUCAAUAUGUCGGUACUAAACCAAAUAAACAAAAUAGAAUGUAGCAAUAAGUUGCAAUACGAUUUGUUUUGGAUUUGAAAAAAAUUCAGAACCACAAAUCCCCUACAUCUAUCGAAUUCUUUACUAAUUGGUACAAUACACAUUGUCGCUCAUUAGCCACAUAGGCACUAUGCAAAAUGCUUAAAACUAUUUGUCUGAAUAUUAUACAACAAUUGCAAUUUCAAAACAUACAUUUGCAGUUGAACCAAACAUCGGACAGUCACCAUUCCCAAUUUUAUUGUAAUCUCAAUAUAUUGUAGUUAUCUGAAAGACAAUCACCUGUGUUGUUUAGUUUCUUGAUAUCUCUACCGUUCCGAAGUUAGAAUCCGUUAAACUUCGAAUGUUAAAGCCACGUUAGAAAAUCUGAAAGAAAUUUAGAAAAUUGUAGAAAAUUAUAAGGAUUUUGAAACCCUGUGAAGAGUGAUUCCUUCGUUGCUAGUAAAAUAUUAUUCAUUUUGCCGAGAUAUUUUUCUAAGUUUUUUUUUUGAAACUUUUGAGAAUAUUACGGAAAAUCUGGUGCAAUAAUAUUAUAUAAAAGAAUAUUACUAUAUAGUGAAGUUACAACAAAAUGGGGAAUUUUUAAAGUCCGACGCUUGGUAAAACCACUUAGAAUUCCCCAUUAUAAUAUAAUACGUCAAAUAGUACCUGAUUGCCUCUUCAAGAUUUUACAAUGACAUUGUAAAUUUUUUUGGAUUAAAAAAGAAGUGGUUAAUAAUCCUGACAACCUUAUGUUUUGUUUUUCAUCGAUUUUCAAACUGUUGCAACAGUUCAAGCUAUAAACAAGCGGAAUUACUUAUUAGGAAGCUACAAUUGGUUCCAGAAAAGCCUUGGGUACUUUGCCUCGCUGAUUGCCUCUAACUCCCAUCAGAUAAUCUCCAUCCCCAGGAAUCUUAGAUACACAAAUCACCUGAAAAAUGAAAACCAAUUAUCUAUUUUAGCGGAAAGUGGCGCAGAAACGAUAUCAACAACUGUCUCAAAUUUUUUUCAAGAUUCGACUCCGCACCACAUAAAGAAAUAAGUUAUAUACGAAUAAUAUAGGAUGAAGAAAUUAUUAGUAGAGGUACUCAAAGUAUAGGAAUAGUACAUACAGGUGAUCAGAUCAGAACAAUGUAAAACUGAAAUUUAUUAAACUUUAUUGACUACACCUUUAGUGUAAUAAUAAUAAUACUAAUAAUAUAAUAAUAAUCGUAAUAAUAAUAAUAACAGUAAUAAUAAUAACAUAUGGCAAAUGUAUAUUUUUAAAAUAUAAACAUAUGCAUAAAUAUGACAAAAUACAAAUUAGAAGUUCUACGUGUGUAGUAAAUGAAAGUUUUUGAGGGAAAAAAAAACAAAAAAAACGUUGUUACAUCGAGAAAUUAUGUUAAUCGCGCGAAAAACGAAUACAACAACUAUAACAUUAUAAUCUAUAUCCUAAAAUAGUAUUUAUAUCAUGCGUUUUUUGUAGUAAGUAUAAAUCGCCCUAUAUAUUACAGAAAUGGUAGUUCAGUAUUAUUAUUGUAUAAUUCUUUACAGGAUGAGUAUUUCAUUGUUUAGCUACAUGUUUCCACAUUUGCGAACUAUAAUUGUAAAAUUUCGUCUCUCA
rnacentral:lncRNA from 1 species